UACAAGUUUUCACCAGCCCACUUCCUUGUUUUUCACAUGUCCACAGUUGCUGCUUCUUUCAUUUCUUUCAUUUUUGCCUUAAUGAAAAGUCUAGCAUGGCUUAUUAGCUACCGAAAUGAACGUUCUUGCCAAUGCCGAGUUGGUUGCAUUACAGAGAGAGGCUUAAAAAAAAUGGAGUGGAAAGGAGACAAAGAAGCAGUGAUGCAUCUGAAGACAGAAAUGGAAACAGUCAAGGAGGAGAUGGAAUUGGAGAGAUCUAGGAAAGUUUAUGGAGCUGAGAAUUUUGCUACCUGUCUCGCAUUUUUUUACUGCUUGUGAUAUUCCUUGGAGUUUUUACUGAUGAGCCAACGUCUCUUCAGUUGCUGUGAGCGUUAAUCAGGACAUUUGAAGCUGGUAUCUCCGCCCACCUGCACGAGGGGAGAGGAAUAAAAGAACAAAUAACAGCAAGCAGAAAAAGGUCUGGGAAAUAUCAAAGAAUGCCCCACCUCUCCCCAGCAUAUCAUCCAGGGAUACCUAGAAGUAUAAAAUUAUUUGCUCUUCCACAUACCUGGAAAAACAGAAGCAACUUUGCUCAUCGUUCUGUGAUUGAGAACGGCCCUAAACUUCCUCAACUCUGAUGGAUUGUGAAGCCUGGAAUCCCAGGUCGGACGAUUAGGACCACCAUUAAUGAAUU